rnacentral:rRNA from 1 species
AUUGAACGCUGGCGGCAUGCCUUACACAUGCAAGUCGAACGGCAGCACGGGUGCUUGCACCUGGUGGCGAGUGGCGAACGGGUGAGUAAUACAUCGGAACGUGUCCUGUAGUGGGGGAUAGCCCGGCGAAAGCCGGAUUAAUACCGCAUACGAUCUACGGAUGAAAGCGGGGGAUCUUCGGACCUCGCGCUAUAGGGGCGGCCGAUGGCGGAUUAGCUAGUUGGUGAGGUAAAGGCUCACCAAGGCGACGAUCCGUAGCUGGUCUGAGAGGACGACCAGCCACACUGGGACUGAGACACGGCCCAGACUCCUACGGGAGGCAGCAGUGGGGAAUUUUGGACAAUGGGCGAAAGCCUGAUCCAGCAAUGCCGCGUGUGUGAAGAAGGCCUUCGGGUUGUAAAGCACUUUUGUCCGGAAAGAAAUCCCUGGUCCUAAUAUGGCCGGGGGAUGACGGUACCGGAAGAAUAAGCACCGGCUAACUACGUGCCAGCAGCCGCGGUAAUACGUAGGGUGCAAGCGUUAAUCGGAAUUACUGGGCGUAAAGCGUGCGCAGGCGGUGAUGUAAGACCGAUGUGAAAUCCCCGGGCUCAACCUGGGAACUGCAUUGGUGACUGCAUCGCUUGAGUAUGGCAGAGGGGGGUAGAAUUCCACGUGUAUCCGUGAAAUGCGUAAAGAAUGUGGAGGAUUACGAUGGCGAUGCAGCCCCAGGGGCCCAUAGUGACACUCAUUGAACAUAUAGUUUGA